GAGAAGAUCAUUAGUUUUAGAAAAAAAGAGGGGCGGGGUAUUCUUUAUUUGAGCACCAUGUGCAAUUGUAGGGAGCUCUAUUGCACUAAAGUGAUUUUAUAUCAAGUAAAUGCAGUUUGUUGCUCUAUAUUGGUAGCGAACUAAUCCUCAUCUUUAUAUUACUGAUGUUGGUUGCUCGCAGAGUUGAGAGACUGUUUCAUGCAGUGGAGCAUCUGCUAUGACUGACUGCAGGGUGGUUCAUAUUUGGAGACUUCUUUGUUUUUCUUUAACUGUAGAUAUUCUAUAAAUGAGGCAUCAGCUUUUAUGGACGUUUGUUUAAAUUAAAACUGAUAGGGUGGAACUUUAGGAGGAUCCCGAUAACUGUAUUACUUCACUUGUAGCAUAUCAUAAAUUCAAUUGGGGGAGAGAAAAAAAAAAGGGAGCUGGUCGUUGGUUCCUGAUUCUCGUAGUUGUUGAGUCUUAAUGUUUUAAAGCGGUUUUUUGAUUUAGUUCUCCUCAGUCGGACCUGAAAAGUAUUUGUAUUACUUGCCUUCUGUGUCGAAAGUUUUUCCUGCUCCUAAAUUAUAGCUUUAUGUACAAAAAUAUAGUUGCCUCUCAACCGGGAAUCAUCAGCCAACCCAACUUUGAAUGAAGUGAGGAAUACUUUCUCAGUUUUAACUGUGCAUAGACAUGUUAGCUUUAUAUAUACUGUGUGUGGGUGAGCCAUUCUUUUGUUGGACUAUGGACUAUGGACUAUAUUGAUAUGAUAUUAUUCCACAAUUGUCCUUUCCCUAAACUUUGGCCACAUUGAUGCUUGUUAAUCUUGUGUUGUUCUUGUUCAUGUUUAUAGUUCCUUCAUUUACUGCUAAAACAGUUAGCUUUUAAGCUUAGCUCUCGGGGUGUUUUCUCGACGAUGAUCCGAAAAAUGUAAACCAACAGUGGUCGAAGUAGCUUGAGUAUAUGAAUCUUUCAAUGACCCCUAGUUUAUCGUAAGGGGAAGUAAUCUGUGCGCUCCAACCGGAGAAACUUUCAUACUUUUCAUUAAAAAUGACUAUCAUACCAAACAUAUAGGUAAAUAUUUUCUAGCAGUAAGUUGUUUAGUAAUCAGUUUACUAUUUAGAAAUAAAGUACUCAUUCUUCGCUUAUCGAGAAUCAAUUUGACUAAAUUUUUAAGCUAAAUUGACUUAAUUUAACUUAGUAUUUUAAAAUAAAAUUUAAAUAUUCAAAAAUUAUACGAAAAAUACAUAUGAUCAAAAAGUAUAUUUUAAAAUAUUGGUCAAAACACAUACAAUUUGACUCUUAAUAAGUAAAAUAUGUCAAACGGAGGGAGUAAUUCUUUUUUAAACUUUAAAAGUUGUUGAAAGAAAGAAAGGGGGAGGGGGUCAAAAUUUGAUAAAACUACUUGUGGAUGGCCAGGAGCACCUUUUGAGAAACUCAAACUGUGUAGUAAAUGACAUUUCAUUUCUCUUUUUCACCAAUUACCUUUAUAAUGAUGGGUCAUACGAAAGCUAUGUAAGAUGGACAAUCUAGAUUCAAAUAACGCAGCUUAGGCACCAAAAGAGAUAGCAGCGAGCCAGUACGAGAAUGAUAGGGGUAACCGAAUAUAGAUCUUUCAUUGAAUUAAUUGUUAUUAGUAGUAGAAAUAAUAGGGAAUGUUUUGUACUUGUAUGUUAAUACAAGACACCCAAUCAUGAACUACACAAUGCAUAAAUUAGUUGAAAUAACAAUCUAGUGUGGCACUGGCUCCACAUGAGUGGAAGAGCAUUAGUAAUUCACAGUAGAUUUGAUUGCGUCCAGUAUCUGCAAACAAAGAAGGAUCAGUACUUUAGUCAGACUCUGGGUGAAAUCUUUUAAAAAUGAAAAGUUUCAAGACCAGUUACCUUGUUCUUUGUAGGCAAGUAAAAGGGUUCGAAGACAAGAGGAAAAGGGGUAUCUAACCCACAUACUCUGGCCACUGGAGCUUCUAACUGCAAAGCAACUCAAAUAUUGAACACUUAGAAGUACUUCAUUUCGUAACGUCUUAACAAAAUAUUGGAACAUGAGAAAAACAUAGGAAUAUGAGAAUACACAGAUGCAGAUGGAGUCUAUGUUUAACGGAUUCAACUGAACCCAGUAUUUCGACAAAAAGCCUUUAUCUCUGUGUGUGCGUGCAUGAAACCACUAAGAUGUCACCAAAUAUUAAAUUUUGAACCCAUCACUUCAAAAUUAAAAUGAAUUCAGUGUUAAGAACUUUAAAGGUUAGAUUCAUUAAUUUUAAAUCAUGGUUACUCGUUAUGGCAUUUUCUAUUUGAUAAAAAGAGAUUGGAGAACUAAAAUGCUCAUAUUCUUGCAGCAUGUUAGUCUGUUACUGACAUCCUCAACAAACAGAAGGGCCUUACUAAAACACCCCUAUCCAGAGCAAUCAACUCUAAUACAUAAAUUAUUCUCGUGCACAGCAAAGCAUAUUGAUACCCAUACAAGGUUCCGAUUCAUAAAGCACUUUUGGUUUAAAACAGGACCCAGUAACUGAACCUGAGAUAAGGCAUGUGGCAAAUACUUAACUUUUAGCUAACCCAGUUACCCAGAUGCUAGACAACACUGACAGGUUCAGUAGCCUCACCCACUCGCACAAGUAAGAUAUGACGCCCAAGUCCAAGAUCACCAGGAGUAUAGCAAAAGCUCCAAGCUGUUUGCAUUUUUCCAAACAACCUAGGUACCACUCGUUAUUCCUUAAGACUGCUUACUUCAACUAUGUUUCACAAAUCCAAAAGCACAGAGGACAUAUGACCUUGCCUAUGAGAUCUUAUAUAAGGUUUGACAUUUAUUAUGGUGAUCCAGGAAAGAAAAAGGAAACUAACAGAAGUCUACAAAGGAGACCUAAAAUAAGUAAAUACUUACUCUCGUAAAGCAACGUUCAACUAUAGAUGCAGAAAUUUCAGCACCAAAUCCACCUGUCACAGGAGCUUCAUGACUAACCUACAACACAAGAAAACUUCGUAAGUUAUUUAAUUAGGAUGAGAUUACCUCUUCAAUUCCAUAAAGCAUUGAUUAAAAUACUCACCAGAAGCCUUCCUGUCUUUUUGACAGAAGCCUCUACUGUUUCCUUGUCCCAUGGUAUUAAAGUUUUAAGGUCAAUCAGUUCGCAUGAGAUCCCUUCCUAUAGAAUAUACGUAUUUAAAAGCUGAUAAGUAAUCAGGAGAAGUACAUAAGAGGUACAGCUGAAAGAUUAGCUGAUAGAUACCAAGCAUGAGAAAGAAGUUUGAGCAUGCAAAAACCAUAAAAUGCAUUUAUACUGGUAAAAAGAACUAGUGGAAUGACAAGAAAUCUAUUCAAGGCAACAGAUUAUAACAGAUCUAAUAGAAACUAGUAUUCACCUUUGCAGCUUCAAUGCAUGCCUGCUCCAUAGUAGAUAGCUGAGCUCCCCAACCAACUAAUGUGAUAUCACUACCUUCCCUGAUGACCUGCAUUUUUGCAUGCACUUCAGAUCUUUUUGAUAAGAUAAUGGUAGCAUGCUCUUCAGCUUUCAAAUUCAUAAUAAACAAUUAAACAAAACAUCAUACCUCUGCCUCAGAGAGAGGCAACAUAUAAUCAUCUUCAGGAACUUCUUCAACAGCCAUCCGGUAAAGCAUCUGAGAUUCAUCCAGACAUAUUCAAUAUCUAACUGCAGCAAAGAGUAUUACGAGGAAGGAAAAAGAGAUUACCUUUGGCUCAAAAAAGACUACAGGAUUUGGGUCACGUAUGGACGACAACAGCAAUCCUUUUGCUUGAUGUGGACUGCGUGGGAUGACCACCUUACACAAAUAAUUGCGCAAAAGUUGUCAAAGGUAUGCAUUCAAUUCUAUAAGUAAAAAGGACGUGCAUCUGGUUUCUAAAGAAAAUAUAUCAAGAAUUUCAGAAAAGUAAAUAUAAAUAAUUAUUCCCAGAAUCCUUUAGGAGGAGACACUAUGAGCAAAAAGGUGACAGAGAGGGAAAACAGAGUGAGCAUAUAGAAGAUACUAAUGGAAUCACGGAGCUUGGUGCUUCACUUUAAAUCAAGAAAGGAAACAAGCAACCUCGAAAAAUAAUCAGUCAACAAUCCAACCAAUGCCCAUGAUGGUGAUGGAUCACGAAUGGAGAAACUCAAUAUAUAUACUGUAUUUGGAGAAUAACGAUUUUUCUCAUUUGCAGGGAAGAACUUGACAAACAAAUAUUGGAUGUCCAUCUUGUAGAGACUUAUCAAAAGGAAAAAAAAAAGAA
rnacentral:lncRNA from 1 species